AGCAGCCGCGGUAAUUCCAGCUCCAAUAGCGUAUAUUAAAGUUGUUGCAGUUAAAAAGCUCGUAGUUGAAUUUCGGGAUUAGUGCGCUGGUCAUGCCUUUGGUAUGUACUGGUGUUACUGAUUUCUACCUUCUGAAGAACCGUUAUGUCAUUUAUUUGGUGUGGCGGGGAAUCAGGACUGUUACUUUGAAAAAAUUAGAGUGUUUAAAGCAGGCUCGCGCUUGAAUACAUUAGCAUGGAAUAAUGAAAUAGGACGUUUGACCCUAUUUUGUUGGUUUCUAGGAUCGACGUAAUGAUUAAUAGGGAUAGUUGGGGGCAUUAGUAUUCAAUUGUCAGAGGUGAAAUUCUUGGAUUUAUUGAAGACUAACUACUGCGAAAGCAUUUGCCAAGGAUGUUUUCAUUAAUCAAGAACGAAAGUUAGGGGAUCGAAGACGAUCAGAUACCGUCGUAGUCUUAACCAUAAACUAUGCCGACUAGGGAUCGGAUGAUGUUAAUUUUUAAUGACUCAUUCGGCGCCUUAC
rnacentral:rRNA from 1 species